rnacentral:rRNA from 1 species
CGUAGGGUGCAAGCGUUAAUCGGAAUUACUGGGCGUAAAGCGUGCGCAGGCGGUUUUGUAAGUCUGUUGUGAAAUCCCCGGGCUCAACCUGGGAAUGGCAAUGGAGACUGCAAGGCUAGAGUUUGGCAGAGGGGGGUAGAAUUCCACGUGUAGCAGUGAAAUGCGUAGAUAUGUGGAGGAACACCGAUGGCGAAGGCAGCCCCCUGGGUCAAAACUGACGCUCAUGCACGAAAGCGUGGGGAGCAAACAGGAUUAGAUACCCUGGUAGUCCACGCCCUAAACGAUGUCUACUAGUUGUCGGGUCUUAAUUGACUUGGUAACGCAGCUAACGCGUGAAGUAGACCGCCUGGGGAGUACGGUCGCAAGAUUA